AUUGAACGCUGGCGGCAGGCCUAACACAUGCAAGUCGAGCGGAUGAAGGGAGCUUGCUCCUGGUUUCAGCGGCGGACGGGUGAGUAAUGCCUAGGAAUCUGCCUGGUAGUGGGGGAUAACGUCCGGAAACGGGCGCUAAUACCGCAUACGUCCUGAGGGAGAAAGUGGGGGAUCUUCGGACCUCACGCUAUCAGAUGAGCCUAGGUCGGAUUAGCUAGUUGGUGGGGUAAAGGCCUACCAAGGCGACGAUCCGUAACUGGUCUGAGAGGAUGAUCAGUCACACUGGAACUGAGACACGGUCCAGACUCCUACGGGAGGCAGCAGUGGGGAAUAUUGGACAAUGGGCGAAAGCCUGAUCCAGCCAUGCCGCGUGUGUGAAGAAGGUCUUCGGAUUGUAAAGCACUUUAAGUGGGGAGGAAGGGAAGUAAGUUAAUACCUUGCUGUUUUGACGUUACCAACAGAAUAAGCACCGGCUAACUUCGUG
rnacentral:rRNA from 1 species